rnacentral:lncRNA from 1 species
ACAAUGCGCGAAUCUAUCUAUACCUUAACAUUAUUUUUUCUAAUCUUAUUACGUGACAGCCUAUCUUUCACCCUGACCUGCCAUUCUUUUGAACCAAAUGGCUAAGCGGUUUCUUCGGCUUUCCUUCUCUAUAACGUCUACCUCUUUGGUUUCCCGUCUUAUUAAUUUUUUUUUCAUAACGUAUGUCUUUUCGACUUUGCAUCUCAUAAUUCCUUCUUUGUAACGUCGCUACUUCGACUUCUCUCUCAUUAAUUUCUAUUUUCUAAGAAUUGUUGCCCGAGAAGCCUGUGGGCACGGCAAAUGGCGUUCUCGACAACGACCUCACCUACUACGUCCGCUCCCUUCAAGCCCGCAAGCGCACCGUCCUCACUCUCACCGUCAACGUCGAGUGAGUUGAACUCUAACCCUAGCCUCGAACCUUUCUCCCUUGAUGUCGACCACUUAUAUUUGUAAUGUAUAGGACUUGCCGAAAAAGAGUUGAAGGCACUAUGAUAUUUCACGAAAGCAUCGGUUUUAGUAGAGAAUAUUCUAAAUAAGGAUAUAAAGGGGUCCGAUUUUCAUGUAACACAUUUUUUUCUUCUAUAAUUUUUUUUAUCUUUCGUUUUCUUGUGCUACUUCAUAAUGAUUUCAU